AAAGCUCCAGUGCCCCAUCCAUCAUGUGAAGACACAAACAGAAGAUGGCCAUUUAGGAACCAGGAAGUAGGCCCUCACCAGAUACCAAAUCUGUUGGCACCCUGAUCUUGAACUUUCCAGCCUCCAGAACUAGCCACCAGAUUUACUUUACUAUUGGAAUCGUGAAGUCGAGAUUUAAAAGCAUCAAAGAUCUGGAAGUAAAUUGGUAAAUUAUUUAAUUGUCACUCUGGCUGUUGUAUGAGUUCAGAGAUAAUGGAGGCAUCCAAACCAGUGAUGAUACUACCAU